rnacentral:rRNA from 1 species
GAUGAACGCUGGCGGCGUGCCUAAUACAUGCAAGUCGAGCGAAGCGGGGACGGGUGAGUAAAACGUGGAUAACCUCCUAUAAGACUGGGAUAAAUUCGGGAAACCGGAGCUAAACCGGAAACUUAUAGAUGGAUACGCGAUGCAUUAGCUAGUGGGUAAGGUAACGGCUUACAAAGGCAACGAUGCAUAGCCGACCUGAGAGUGUGAUCGGCCACACUGGAACUGAUACACGGUCCAGACUCCUACGGGAGGCAGCAGUGGGGAAUCUUGCGCAAUGGGCGAAAGCCUGACGCAGCAACGCCGCGUGAGUGAGGAAGGCCUUCGGAUCGUAAAAUGCUUUCAUUAGGGAAGCGGUACUUAAUCAGAAAGCCACGGCUAACUACGUGCCAGCAGCCGCGGUAAUUC